rnacentral:snRNA from 1 species
GUGCUCGCUUCAGCAGCACAUAUGCUAAAAUUGGAGCAAUACAGAGAAGAUUAGCAUGGCCCCUGUGCAAGCAUGACACGCAAAUUCAUGAAGCAGUCCUGAUCUUU